rnacentral:rRNA from 1 species
AACGAACGCAGGCGGCAGGCUUAACACAUGCAAGUCGAACGCAUCGCAAGAUGAGUGGCAGACGGGUGAGUAACGCGUGGGAAUCUACCCAUCUCUGCGGAAUAGCUCUGGGAAACUGGAGUUAAUACCGCAUACGCCCUACGGGGGAAAGAUUUAUCGGGGAUGGAUGAGCCCGCGUUGGAUUAGCUAGUCGGUGGGGUAAAGGCCUACCAAGGCGACGAUCCAUAGCUGGUCUGAGAGGAUGAUCAGCCACAUUGGGACUGAGACACGGCCCAAACUCCUACGGGAGGCAGCAGUGGGGAAUAUUGGACAAUGGGCGCAAGCCUGAUCCAGCCAUGCCGCGUGAGUGAUGAAGGCCUUAGGGUUGUAAAGCUCUUUCACCGAUGAAGAUAAUGACGGUAGUCGGAGAAGAAGCCCCGGCUAACUUCGUGCCAGCCGCCGCCGUAA